AAACUAUCAAUAAUAACACUAUACAAAAAACAUGCAUCAAUAAAAAUAGCUAUACAAUUGUACAACCGUAGUGCAAUGUAAAAGUGACAGGUGUGUAUGAUAUAAAGUGACUGGUGUACAUGAUAUAAGAGACAGGUGUACAUGAUAUAAGUGACAGGUGUACAUGAUAUAAGUAACAGGUUUACAUGAUAUAAAUGACAGGUGUACAUGAUAUAAAGUGACAGGUGUACAUGAUAUAAAGUGACAGGUGUACGUGAUAUAAAGUGACAGGUGUACAUGAUAUAAGUAACAGGUUUACAUGAUAUAAAGUGACAGGUGUACAUGAUAUAAAGUGACAGGUGUACAUGAUUUAAAGUGACAGGUGUGCAUGAUAUAAAAUGACAGUUGUGCAUGAUAUAAAAUGACAGGUGUGCAUGGGACUAUGGAUGGAAGGGAGGAGGGGUUCCUGAGUUGAGCAGCCUUACGGCCUGAGGAAAGAAGCUGUCCCGUAGCCUGUUAGUUUUGGAAUGAAUACUCCUGUACCUUCUGCCGGGCAUGGGUGGCUGGGAUCUGUAAUGAUCCAUUUGCUCCUCCUCCUACACCUCUCUGUGUAGAGAUCCUGCAGGGAUGGCGGGUCAGACCUUGUGAUGCUCUCAUCUGUUUUAAUCACCCUCUGAAGUGCUUUACGGUCGAUGGCGGUGCAGCUGCCAUACCAUGCGGUGACACGGCCAGUCAGGAUACUCUCGAUAGUGCAUCUGUAGAAGUUGGUGAGUAUCCUAGAAUGCAUGUCAAAUCUCCUUAAUCAGUGUAGGAAGAAGAGCCGUUUCCUGGCCUCCUUCACCAAGAUGUUAGAGUGAUGAGACCAGGUCAAGUCAUCCCUGAUGUUGACCCCGAGGUACCUGAUGUUGUGUGAACUCUCUCUACCGCAGACCCAUUGAUGUGUAUGGGGGCGUGGUCUCCCCGCCGCUGCUUCCUGUGAUCAACAACCAUCUCCUUCGUUUUGCUGAUACUGAGCUGGAGGUUGUUAUCCAGACACCACAACAUCAGUGACCUUACUUUGUCUCUAUAGGCUGACUCGUCAUUCUCAGAGAUCAGGCCUAUGAUGGUGGUGUCGUAAGCAAACUUAUCGAUGGUGUUGGAGAUGUGAGUUGCCAGGCGGUCGUGGGUGAAGAGAGAGUACAGGAGUACACACAGCCCUGGGGGGAACCAGUACUGAGAGUCAGUGAGGAGGAGGUGUUGCCCAUCCACACCACCUGGGGUCUGCCCGUCAGGAAGUUCAGGAUCCAUCUGCACAUAGUGGGGUCGAGACCCAGAUCCCUGAGCUUCACCACCAGCUUGUGGGGCACAAUGGUGUUGAAGGCUGAGCUGUAGUCAAUGAACAGCAUUCUCACAUAUGUGUUCCUCUUGUACAGAUGAGAGAGUGCAGAGUGGAGGGUCAGAGCGAUGGCAUCCUCUGUGGAUCUGUUUUGUCUGUAGGCAAACUGCAGCGGGUCAAGUGUUACAGGCAUGGAGUCUGUGAUGUGAGUUUUAACUAGCCGCUCAAAGCACUUCAUGAUGAUUGGUGUGAGUGCUACAAGGCGGUAGUCAUUCAUGCUGAGGACUUUUUGCUUUAUUGGCACAGGAACAAUGAUGGUAAUCCCAAAACAAGCAUAGAGAUUGAUAAUAAUAAAAACCUUUGCGUGCAUGAUCACACGCAUAACUGAGGCACAAUUGUUGUUUGGGUUCAAAUAACAAUGUUUUUAAAACAUUAAAUAAAAAAAUCAAGCAUACAACAUGUCAAUUAUUU
ensembl:lncRNA